GAUGAACGCUGGCGGCGUGCCUAAUACAUGCAAGUCGAGCGAACAGACGAGGAGCUUGCUCCUCUGACGUUAGCGGCGGACGGGUGAGUAACACGUGGAUAACCUACCUAUAAGACUGGGAUAACUUCGGGAAACCGGAGCUAAUACCGGAUAAUAUAUUGAACCGCAUGGUUCAAUAGUGAAAGACGGUUUUGCUGUCACUUAUAGAUGGAUCCGCGCCGCAUUAGCUAGUUGGUAAGGUAACGGCUUACCAAGGCAACGAUGCGUAGCCGACCUGAGAGGGUGAUCGGCCACACUGGAACGGAGACACGGUCCAGACUCCUACGGGAGGCAGCAGUAGGGAAUCUUCCGCAAGGGGCGAAAGCCUGACGGAGCAACGCCGCGUGAGUGAUGAAGGUCUUCGGAUCGUAAAACUCUGUUAUUAGGGAAGAACAAAUGUGUAAGUAACUAUGCACGUCUUGACGGUACCUAAUCAGAAAGCCACGGCUAACUACGUG
rnacentral:rRNA from 1 species